rnacentral:rRNA from 1 species
CGGACGGGUGAGUAACGCGUGAGCAAUCUGCCCUUGACUCUGGGAUAACGCCGAGAAAUUGGUGCUAAUACCGGAUAUGACCCCUGGCGGCAUCGCUGGGGGUGGAAAGUUUUUCGGUCAAGGAUGAGCUCGCGGCCUAUCAGCUAGUUGGUGAGGUAAUGGCUCACCAAGGCGACGACGGGUAGCCGGCCUGAGAGGGUGGCCGGCCACACUGGGACUGAGACACGGCCCAGACUCCUACGGGAGGCAGCAGUGGGGAAUAUUGCACAAUGGGCGCAAGCCUGAUGCAGCAACGCCGCGUGGGGGAUGACGGCCUUCGGGUUGUAAACCUCUUUUAGCAGGGAAGAAGCGAAAGUGACGGUACCUGCAGAAAAAGCGCCGGCUAACUACGUGCCAGCAGCCGCGGUAAUACGUAGGGCGCAAGCGUUGUCCGGAAUUAUUGGGCGUAAAGAGCUCGUAGGCGGUUGGUCGCGUCUGCUGUGAAAUCCCGAGGCUCAACCUCGGGCCUGCAGUGGGUACGGGCCAACUAGAGUGCGGUAGGGGAGAUCGGAAUUCCUGGUGUAGCGGUGGAAUGCGCAGAUAUUAGGAAGAACACCAAUGGCGAAAGCACUCUGCUGGGCCAUAACUGACACUGAGAGACGACAGCUAGGGGAGCAAAUGGGAUUAGAUACCCCCAGUAGUC